rnacentral:rRNA from 1 species
GUCUAUGGCCAUACCACCCUGAACAAGCCCGAUCCCGUCUGAUCUCGGAAGACAAGCAGGGUCGGGCCUGGUUAGUACUUGGAUGGGAGACCACCUAAGAAGACCAGGUGCUGUAGGUG